rnacentral:lncRNA from 1 species
UUCGUUGCCGCUGCUAGCCUCUUGUCCAUACGUUCUGUCGCAAGGCCACUUGCCAAGUUCCUACGAAUCUCCAACAUUGAUGUGUCUGAUCAAGUCGUUGUUCCGGCUGGCGAUCCGCUAAUUGCUGAUCAACAUUAUUUGGUGCCUCGAUGAUUGAAAGCGCCGACCACAUCCAUCACAUCCCACGCACGCCGCCGAGUUGCUGGAGGAACACGUACGUACAUCCAUACCAUACACGAUGAUGAUCCCUCUUUAUCCGUCUAGUCUGUUAGCUUUCCCGCUGAUCUUUCCGCUUUUAAUCAGAUAUUGUCCAUGUCUACAUGAGAUAUACAUGCUGAAUAUUUAUCAAUGCCAAUCUAUUUCUCUUUAUAUUUGCCAGCACGGUAGCCUUGUCCGAGCGCCGUCGCCUGCUGCUGCUGUGCCGCCAGUUGGAGGCUGUCGCCUGUCUUCGCCUUGCGGUAGAAAUUUGGAUGACUGCCGCCUCACUUUGGUUCGUGACCCGUUGCCGAGCUGCAGGACGAGGCGACACGUCUGCUCCACCAAACUCUGUGCUCUCGCCGUGCGUUCAUCGUCAUUGCGAAUACCCUGAGGUGAGAUAUCCACCGUAGCCUCCUAUACCCUGUGUCCUUCCUAUGUCGAACCAAGAUCUCUAGGUCCUGUUUCUGAGUUCGCCAGCAAUCGGAACCACGGUACUAGGGAUAUUGCUAGAUUGAUGACGUUAGAAUGACCACAUGAUGAUGUCGCUUGAGUCUUAUGGCCGUUUUUCUUUAUAAAAACAAAUCUAAAAUACAAAGAAAAUACACUAGCUUGUUUAGGCCAUAUAAUCUUCAUUUUAACUCUGAUUUGCUCUAUUUAAGUCGCGUUAAAUUCGUGUCGAUGUGAUCUACAUGUUAGUGUCAAUGUUUAUCAUGUUAUAUAUUUUUAUAUAUAAAUAAAUAUUAAAUUUCUUAAUUAAUGUAAACCAAGCAUGUAGGUUUCUCUUUUAUAAUUUAAAAUAAUAAAAUAAUAUAAAGCUCUCGAUAGUAGUUUCUUUUUAAUCACAAACUCAUUCUCGGUGGGUGUUUUCCUGUGCUCUCACGAUCGUUGCUGCGAGCUCUCAUUUAGUAUGUUGCUUAAUCUUGUGCGGUGUAUUGUUCUUAGUUAUUUUUGUUUCUUGCUUGUAUGUUUGCCUAUGUGUGGUGCUUGAUACGAGUAGACGAGAACCGUUUAUGGGUGAUGAUGAGCAGAAGAUGAUGACCGAAGGCUCGUGGUGUGAGAAUUGAGCAAGAUAAAGGCAAGUACAACUUGGGAUCAUCCUUGUUACCUAUUCACUUAUAAAUACACAUAUAUAUCAUAUGCAUGCUUCCAUCUUGUCGACCUUAGCAAAAUCAUAGAUGUUUGUUACCUGGAUUCCUUGCUAGCUACUUGAUAUGCAUUUGGUGUAGUUGUGCUAGUGUUUUAUAUAAUCCAUGAUCUUGUAAGAUGAUUAACAACUAAGCGAUGAACAUAAAAGGAUGACAAAUAACUAUAUGAGAUCUUGUCUGUACGUGAUCACCCGGGAUAACAGUGCAACCAUGAGGGCUAUAAUGGCUCUGGCUUUAGCUCAGUAUGAAGACCUUUUCUAGCUUGUCAGAGGUUACCCGAAAGGGCGCUAGAGGGGCUGAACCGACACGGGUAUAGUGCGAGCCCCUGUCCCUAUGUGUAUAGGCUGCGCGUCAUUGUGCCACUCGGAAGGGGGUAUCUAUAUCUGCUCGCGAAGGAAACCUUGUGGCCCUAACUUGUUAGACGAACUUUUGAAAGGCUUCAUAGUGAUCCCUGCCGACCCUCCUUGGUAGUGGGUUAAGAGGCUGAUCACCUCGGGCGAAAGGGUAAAUCAUGACUCAUGGGUAAAGAUGUACAACCUCUGUAGAGUGUUAAAACUAGUAUACUAGCCGAGCUCACGGUCAGGAGCGGUCUUGUGGACAUCUACACUAAGAUGAUGACGCUUAUUAAGUUAUUACGAUCAUUUGUUUAUUGUUCAUGUUUAGUAUUAAUUAUGCUUACAUUUGAUCAUGUGGUUAUGAGAUUUAUUAUGCUACCUUGAUAUUUGCUAUCUAAAUAUAAACAUGCUCUAUACAUAUAAAAGCUAAAUGCAGUCAAACCAGUGUCAGCUAAUUGAGCCUCAUGAACCCCUGGUUAUACUUGUUGAGUACGACAUGUGCUCACUCUUGCUAUUUCCCACCACUCCAGUUUACUAGUAAGAGUUGAUCAGAAGAGCGAUGGAAUCAUGAAGGAUGUUCUCAGAAUACAAGAAGUGCUAGGCAUAUGUUACCCCCAGUCAGCCGUCUCUGUGAAGAUUUGAGCCUGAAGAUUAGUUAUUGUGUUACGAUUCUCUGAUGUAAGUGUUAAUUAUAAUUAUGUUUCCG